rnacentral:rRNA from 1 species
UACGAAGGGUGCUAGCGUUGUUCGGAAUCACUGGGCGUAAAGCGCACGUAGGCGGAUUUGCCAGUCAGGGGUGAAAUCCCGGAGCUCAACUUCGGAACUGCCUCUGAUACAGCACGUCUUGAGUCCGGAAGAGGUGGGUGGAAUUCCUAGUGUAGAGGUGAAAUUCGUAGAUAUUAGGAAGAACACCGGUGGCGAAGGCGGCCCACUGGUCCGGUACUGACGCUGAGGUGCGAAAGCGUGGGGAGCAAACAGG